rnacentral:rRNA from 1 species
ACAAGGCGGACGGCUCAGUAACACGUAGUCAACCUAACUCGUGGACGUGGAUAACCUCGGGAAACUGAGAAUAAACCACGAUAGAUCAUAGUGCCUGGAAUGGCCUAUGGUCCAAACAGUUUACUGCCAUGGGAUGGGACUGCGGCCUAACAGCUUGUUGGUGAGGUAAUGGCCCACCAAGGCGAUUACAGGUACGGGCUCUGAGAGGAGAAGCCCGGAGAUGGGUACUGAGACACGGACCCAGGCCCUAUGGGGCGCAGCAGGCGAGAAACCUUAGCAAUGUGCGAAAGCACGACUGGGUCAGUCCGAGUGAUUCCUGAUAAAGGAGUCUUUUGCUUGUCCUAAAAGCACAGGUGAAUAUGGGGUGGGCAAGUCUGGUGUCAGCCGCCGCGGUAAUACCAGCACCUCGAGUGGUCAGGACGUUUAUUGGGCCUAAAGCAUCCGUAGCCGGCUUUGCAAGUCUUCGGUUAAAUCCACCUGCUCAACAGAUGGGCUGCUGGAGAUACUACAAAGCUAGGGAGUGGGAGAGGCAGACGGUAUUCAGUGGGUAGGGGUAAAAUCCUCUGAUCCAUUGAGGACCACCAG